rnacentral:rRNA from 1 species
UGAGGAAUAUUGGUCAAUGGGCGAGAGCCUGAACCAGCCAAGUAGCGUGAAGGAUGAAGGUCCUACGGAUUGUAAACUUCUUUUAUACGGGAAUAAAGUUUCCUACGUGUAGGAUUUUGUAUGUACCGUAUGAAUAAGCAUCGGCUAACUCCGUGCCAGCAGCCGCGGUAAUACGGAGGAUGCGAGCGUUAUCCGGAUUUAUUGGGUUUAAAGGGAGCGCAGACGGGAGAUUAAGUCAGUUGUGAAAGUUUGCGGCUCAACCGUAAAAUUGCAGUUGAUACUGGUUUCCUUGAGUGCAGUUGAGGCAGGCGGAAUUCGUGGUGUAGCGGUGAAAUGCUUAGAUAUCACGAAGAACCCCGAUUGCGAAGGCAGCUUGCUAAACUGUAACUGACGUUCAUGC